CACCUGGGUUUCCUCUUUGCAGAGAAAAGGAUGAGAGAACAUCCAACUGUUUUGAGAAGGAUGAAGAAUUACUGAGAAGAGUGUCCAUAAAUAUAAAAAGAUAAGGACAAAAAAGAGCUCAGCAGUCUAUGACCACAAAUGCUGUGGAGCCUGAGAAGUUAACAGCUGAAGUUUAACAGCUGUGGAGCCUGAGAAGUUUAGAAUGCCAGCACAUUUGGGGUCUCACAUGGUGAAGGAGAUCUGAGGAGCUAUAAAAGAGACAUCAUACCAGACUCUACUCCAGAAUGGAAAUGUCCAAUGCCUAAUCAGAAGCCAGGGAGUAGGGUGCGUCCUUCAAGGGAAGAGUAUAGGUGAAGCUUUUAUUGGCGAAAGGGAGAAGUUCACAUAACCUGCUGACAAACAGAGUUCAUUAGUCCCAGAUGCUCAAAGCCAGAAUUGUCAUCAGUUGAUUGGUGGAGAUGCUGUUACAGGACAAAUGUUAUUUUCUGGAGCAUCUUAUCUGAAUUGCUGAAGCCCUAAAGAAUGUCUAGUCAUAAACCUUGUCACAGAAAUAUGUGCAGAAGUGUGCACAUAACCUGCAAGCCAUGAAAAGUGGGAGAACAUGAAGAACAUGAAGGGACUUCUUGUGGGGCCAUUUUCAAGAUAUUUUUUUCUUUCAUCUCAAACAGUACUCAAUCUCGGUGUCCAUGAACUGCUC
rnacentral:lncRNA from 1 species